UCAGAUGGCUGGAUGGCCGCUUUCGGCGGGCUGGUUCCGCUGGGGGAGGAAAGUCCGGGCUCCACGGAAACACGGUGCCGGGUAACGCCCGGCGGGGGUGACCCCAGGGAAAGUGCCACAGAAAGCAAACCGCCGGCGUCGCCCGGGUCCUCGGACGCGGGUGCCGGCAAGGGUGAAAGGGCGCGGUAAGAGCGCACCGCGCUCCCGGCAACGGGAGCGGCAUGGCAAACCCCACCGGGAGCAAGACCAAAUAGGG
rnacentral:RNase_P_RNA from 1 species